rnacentral:rRNA from 1 species
UACAGAGGAGCCAAGCGUUGUCCGGAUUGACUGGGCGUAAAGCGCACGCAGGCGGAUGCGCGCGUGGGGUGUGAAAUCUGGCCGCUUAACGGCCAGGCGCCAUCCCAUACGGCGCGUCUGGAGUGAUGCAGAGGUCGAUGGAAUUGCCGGUGUAGUGGUGAAAUGCGUAGAGAUCGGCUGGAACACCCAGGGGGAAACCAGUCGACUGGGCAUCUACUGACGCUGAGGUGCGAGAGCGUGGGGAGCGAACCGG